rnacentral:rRNA from 1 species
AGAGUUUGAUCCUGGCUCAGGACGAACGCUGGCGGCGUGCUUAACACAUGCAAGUCGAACGAGAAUCUGUGGAUCGAGGAUUCGUCCAAGUGAAGCAGAGGACAGUGGCGGACGGGUGAGUAACGCGUGAGGAACCUGCCUUUCAGAGGGGGACAACAGUUGGAAACGACUGCUAAUACCGCAUGAUACAUUUGGGUGGCAUCAUCUGAAUGUCAAAGAUUUAUCGCUGAAAGAUGGCCUCGCGUCUGAUUAGCUAGUUGGUGAGGUAACGGCCCACCAAGGCGACGAUCAGUAGCCGGACUGAGAGGUUGACCGGCCACAUUGGGACUGAGAUACGGCCCAGACUCCUACGGGAGGCAGCAGUGGGGAAUAUUGGGCAAUGGGCGCAAGCCUGACCCAGCAACGCCGCGUGAAGGAAGAAGGCUUUCGGGUUGUAAACUUCUUUUAAGAGGGAAGAGCAGAAGACUGUACCUCUAGAAUAAGCCACGGCUAACUACGUGCCAGCAGCCGCGGUAAUACGUAGGUGGCAAGCGUUGUCCGGAUUUACUGGGUGUAAAGGGCGUGCAGCCGGGAAUGCAAGUCAGAUGUGAAAUCCAUGGGCUUAACCCAUGAACUGCAUUUGAAACUGUAUUUCUUGAGUACUGGAGAGGCAAUCGGAAUUCCUAGUGUAGCGGUGAAAUGCGUAGAUAUUAGGAGGAACACCAGUGGCGAAGGCGGAUUGCUGGACAGCAACUGACGGUGAGGCGCGAAAGUGUGGGGAGCAAACAGGAUUAGAUACCCUGGUAGUCCACACUGUAAACGAUGAAUACUAGGUGUGCGGGGACUGACCCCCUGCGUGCCGCAGUUAACACAAUAAGUAUUCCACCUGGGGAGUACGAUCGCAAGGUUGAAACUCAAAGGAAUUGACGGGGGCCCGCACAAGCGGUGGAUUAUGUGGUUUAAUUCGAAGCAACGCGAAGAACCUUACCAGGGUUUGACAUCCUGCUAACGAAGUAGAGAUACAUUAGGUGCCCUUCGGGGAAAG